UACGAAGGGGGCUAGCGUUGCUCGGAAUCACUGGGCGUAAAGCGCACGUAGGCGGCUUUUUAAGUCAGGGGUGAAAUCCUGGAGCUCAACUCCAGAACUGCCUUUGAUACUGAGAAGCUUGAGUCCGGGAGAGGUGAGUGGAACUGCGAGUGUAGAGGUGAAAUUCGUAGAUAUUCGCAAGAACACCAGUGGCGAAGGCGGCUCACUGGCCCGGUACUGACACUGAGGCGCGAAAGCGUGGGGAGCGAACAGG
rnacentral:rRNA from 1 species